UACGUAGGGUCCGAGCGUUGUCCGGAAUUACUGGGCGUAAAGAGCUCGUAGGUGGUUUGUCGCGUUGUUCGUGAAAACUCACAGCUCAACUGUGGGCGUGCGGGCGAUACGGGCAGACUAGAGUACUGCAGGGGAGACUGGAAUUCCUGGUGUAGCGGUGGAAUGCGCAGAUAUCAGGAGGAACACCGGUGGCGAAGGCGGGUCUCUGGGCCGUAACUGGACGCUGGAGGAAGCGAAAGCAUGGGGAGCGAACAGG
rnacentral:rRNA from 1 species